UCAGAGGUCCUGGAUUCAAUUUAAGUUC
rnacentral:piRNA from 1 species